GACGAACGCUGGCGGCGUGCUUAACACAUGCAAGUCGAACGGAAAGGCCCUGCUUUUGUGGGGUGCUCGAGUGGCGAACGGGUGAGUAACACGUGAGUAACCUGCCCUUGACUUUGGGAUAACUUCAGGAAACUGGGGCUAAUACCGGAUAGGAGCUCCUGCUGCAUGGUGGGGGUUGGAAAGUUUCGGCGGUUGGGGAUGGACUCGCGGCUUAUCAGCUUGUUGGUGGGGUAGUGGCUUACCAAGGCUUUGACGGGUAGCCGGCCUGAGAGGGUGACCGGCCACAUUGGGACUGAGAUACGGCCCAGACUCCUACGGGAGGCAGCAGUGGGGAAUAUUGCACAAUGGGCGGAAGCCUGAUGCAGCAACGCCGCGUGCGGGAUGAGGGCCUUCGGGUUGUAAACCGCUUUCGCCUGUGACGAAGCGUGAGUGACGGUAAUGGGUAAAGAAGCACCGGCUAACUACGU
rnacentral:rRNA from 1 species